ensembl:lncRNA
CAACGUGUUGUGCUUCCCAGGGGUGUAUUCCAGAAAGCAAGGUUAACUUACCGUCAGAUAAACCUUGAACUCUUGGUUGGUUAACCCCAAACUUGCUUACUCUGGGUUUGUCAGUUCCAAAACACCUGUGAGCUGUUAGUUUAAUCAACCUUCUAUUGGUAACCCAGAGUUAAUGUGCGCGCACGGCGAGUACAUAAAGACCAUGGAAACCCAGGGAGAAAAAAGCAAGCUACAUACUUUGGUGAAACUGAGUUGGAGGCUUUAAUGCUUGCUUAUGAAGACUAUAAGCCCAUUAUAACUAAAUAAAAAAGCAAUACUGCUGCAUCAUCAAAAGAAGGAGAGUUGGCUUGGCAAAAAAUAACGGACAGAGUAAAUGUGUGUAAUCCUUCUGGAGCCAGAAGAAGUGUGAGCCAAGUCAAAAUGAAACACAAGAACAUUCUCCAGCAAGCCAAUAGAAAGAAGGCUGAGGCCCGUAAAACAGGUGGGGGUCCACCUCUACCUUCCCUCACCCCAGCUGAGGAGCUGGCACUGUCCCUUAAUAAAGGGCACCUGUGGUCGAUGGGAUUCCAGGGGGCAGUUCGUCAGACUCCGCUACCAAGACAAGUGGCUUAGUAAAAUUUGCUGAUGGCCACAUUGUAUUAUUGGAUCCUCCUGCAAUACCACACUCUGUCACAGUUGAAAGUGAUUAUUGUCUUUAGGUUUCUGUUUGCUAGACCAAGCAUCCUUCCUUAUUUUCAUUGUAGGAUGACAAAGGUCCCUUCUAUUAACAUAGUCUCCUUCAUUGACUGAAGGAGCUUAAAUGCAUACAGGAUAUGUCACAUAACCUGCUAUCUGGAAUACACCCCUGCUCCUUGAUUCCUUGUGUUUGCUUUGUGGAUUAUAAUUAAAGAUUGGG